rnacentral:lncRNA from 1 species
CUCCCCCUUUCUAGAUCAGAAAGUAGGGUCCUCCUUAUCUCUUUCUCUCACUGGAGCCGUCCAGCCAAGAUCUCUCUCUCCCCCCUUGGCCCAUCCUCUCAUUCUCUCUCCCUCUCUCUACAUCAAGAAAUAAGAUCCUCCUUUUCCCUAUCUCUCAUGAAGCCAUUCACCCAAGCUCUCUCUUUGCUUCUUGUCGAUGGAUUUCUCCUUCCUCUCUCUCCAUCUCACUAGUCGAAGCAACAUCACUCCAACUCCAUCAUCACUGUCCUCUCUUCCCAACCCCACAACUCUUUGUCCCUCUCUCAUUGAAAUCCUAUUCCACACCUCCCUCUUUCUCACCAAAAGGUAGCUCAGGGAAGGGUUACAUUCAUCUAAAGCUAAACAAAGAUGAGGCAAUGAAAGGGUUACACUAUCAACGACCAGUCGUCAAAAUCCUUUACUC